rnacentral:lncRNA from 1 species
UUGUAAUUUGGAUGUAAGUUUAAAUUGACAUUAUAUUGAUUUGAAUAAUGGAAUUUGAAUGGAAUGUAUGGAAAGUUUGAAAUUGUAUCGAAUGGAUUUUGCAAUUUUUAUGGAAAGUGUAUGAAUGGAAAGUAUAUAAUUGGAAAAAUCAUGAAUGGAAAGUAUAUAAUUGGAAAAAUCAUGAAUGGAAAGCAUGUAUUGAAUGGAUUAUGGAAAGAUUAUUUGAAAAUUGAAUAUG